rnacentral:rRNA from 1 species
GAAAUGCGAUACUUGGUGUGAAUUGCAGAAUCCCGUGAACCAUCGAGUUUUUGAACGCAAGUUGCGCCCGAAGCUCUCGGGCUUAGGGCACGUCUGCCUGGGCGUCACGCAUCGCGUCUCCCCAAACCACCUAGUGUGGAAAGGGGAGGAGGAUGGUUUCCCGUCCCUCACCGGGGACGGUUGGCCUAAAUUUGGAGCCAGAGGCACUGAGCUUUAGUGGCGAUAGGUGGUGAACAAGGCUUAGGCCGUGCAAGCAACCCGUCACGUAGCACUUUGCAAACUUGAGCUCGAAGGACCCUGUGAUAUCGCCUUGUUGCGAUUGAACGCUGCGACCCCAGGUCAGGCGGGGCUACCCGCUGAAUUUAA